AAAUUGAAGAGUUUGAUCAUGGCUCAGAUUGAACGCUGGCGGCAGGCCUAACACAUGCAAGUCGAACGGUAACAGGAAGCAGCUUGCUGCUUUGCUGACGAGUGGCGGACGGGUGAGUAAUGUCUGGGAAACUGCCUGAUGGAGGGGGAUAACUACUGGAAACGGUAGCUAAUACCGCAUAACGUCGCAAGACCAAAGAGGGGGACCUUCGGGCCUCUUGCCAUCAGAUGUGCCCAGAUGGGAUUAGCU
rnacentral:rRNA from 2 species